UUCACACACAAACUGAAUAAAGGAGUAACUGACUUACUAAUGAGUGUGCUUGUUCUGAGUGAAAGCUGUUAUGAACUUGUGACCACAAAAAACCCCCUGGGUGGAGCUUGAAGGACUGAUCACCACCUUGAGCCCUGGUUGCAGCUGGGGUGAUCUCUGGGAGACAUCAUGUUUCACCGGUGUGCUGAUUUUCUGAACUACUGACUGUAAUUUGACCCACACGGCAGUGACAAAAGCUUCAUGCGGGAAGUAGAAGCAUUCUGAAUGCUGUGAUAUCCCUGGAGACUGAGUCUUUAAUUUGAAUCUGGAUGAUAGCAUGAGAACGGGAGGAAUCUGAGUUGACUCCAGUCGCCCCAGUGCUACGCUCCUUCCCACCCUUCAAAAUUACCUGGAAAACAAACAGGACAAAACAAAGGCUGAUGACCUCAGCAGAAAAGACUCCAUUCCACAGCUGAUACUCAACAACUGCUUAAAACAGCAGCUGAAUGGAGAUGGGAAAUGUCUAAUAUUCAACCACAUGCUAAUGAAAAAUAAUCUGUGGGUUAUAUUAGGGUGCUGAUUAUUUGAAAAUUGCGCCUUGGCUCCUCUUGCGGGCAAAGCUUCCAAGUGGUUAAGAAUGUUUGCUUCAUUUUGUAACUACCUAAAGGCAAGGUGCUGUAUGUCUGCAGUUACUCUUUCACUCUGUGUACAUGUUUACUGAGUUCAGUUUCAUAGCAACCAGCUUUCUCUGUAUUUAUAGUUUCCCCAACUCAAGAGCCCCCACAUUUCACUGAUUGCUUAGAUUUUCUAGUUCAGUGGAGAAGAAAAAAAAUCCAGAAUCAAUUUAGGCUCUGUCAUGGAGACGCUCUUGGUCGGACAAUUAUGAGCAGUUCAUCUCAUUGCACAGUGCGCUUACAGAGUGAAUGGGAAAGAGGGCAUAUGGUGUUCAGAGAGGUACAUGAACGUGACCAGGUCGCUAUUGCUAGUGCACACAAAGAGAAAGUACCAGACACUCAGACAUGGUGGGGGCCACAAAGGUAGACAGAUUGGGUAUGUCAGAGAACUCCUUCAGAGUAUGUGAGAAGAAGCAUAAUUGUUAUAAAUAUGUUGUCUAACUUAACAGCAUCUAUUUCAAACAUCUAGUAGGCCUUUUCCCUCAGCAGGCUGCAUCUCAGUGAUUCCUGGGUGUGUGUCAGCAUAUCCAUGUGCCAGACGCUUUGAGACAAAAAGCCUUUUAUCUCUACUAUUAUUCUUAAUAAUUUUAUAUUAUUGUGGCUCCUCACAGCCUGUCAUGGACCAGGAUCCCAUUGUGCCAGGCACUGCAUAAACAGAAGAAAGAGACAGUCCCUGCCCCAAAGAGCUUACAAUCUAAAUAAACAUCCUGUCAUAAUGAGCUGAAUAUAAAUCUGAGCAGGCAAAUGGCCACGCUAGGUGUCAUGUUCACAACUUGGAAGGAAUCCAUGGGCCUGACCUCAUUUG